UACGUAGGGGGCAAGCGUUGUCCGGAAUUAUUGGGCGUAAAGCGCGCGCAGGCGGCUAUUUAAGUCUGGUGUUUAAACCUCGGGCUCAACCUGGGGUCGCACUGGAAACUGGAUGGCUUGAGUGCAGAAGAGGAAAGUGGAAUUCCAUGUGUAGCGGUGAAAUGCGUAGAUAUAUGGAGGAACACCAGUGGCGAAGGCGACUUUCUGGGCUGUAACUGACGCUGAGGCGCGAAAGCGUGGGGAGCAAACA
rnacentral:rRNA from 1 species